UCCUACGGGGGGCUGCAGUGGGGAAUAUUGGACAAUGGGCGAAAGCCUGAUCCAGCCAUGCCGCGUGUGUGAAGAAGGUCUUCGGAUUGUAAAGCACUUUAAGUUGGGAGGAAGGGCAGUAAGCUAAUACCUUGCUGUUUUGACGUUACCAACAGAAUAAGCACCGGCUAACUCUGUGCCAGCAGCCGCGGUAAUACAGAGGGUGCAAGCGUUAAUCGGAAUUACUGGGCGUAAAGCGCGCGUAGGUGGUUCAGCAAGUUGGAUGUGAAAUCCCCGGGCUCAACCUGGGAACUGCAUCCAAAACUACUGAGCUAGAGUACGGUAGAGGGUGGUGGAAUUUCCUGUGUAGCGGUGAAAUGCGUAGAUAUAGGAAGGAACACCAGUGGCGAAGGCGACCACCUGGACUGAUACUGACACUGAGGUGCGAAAGCGUGGGGAGCAAACAGGAUUAGAUACCCCAGUAGUC
rnacentral:rRNA from 1 species